rnacentral:lncRNA from 1 species
UAUUCUUGAAUCGUAAUUUUUUUUGUCUAUCUGAAUGUGUAGUAAAAUGUUGUGUACUUUUAUUUACUGUAUAGGGCAAGGAGAAAGAACAAUGUUGUAUUUGGAGAUAAUUUAGAAUCUGGUGCUGCUGCUGCAGGUACUUUUUCAACUAUCAUAUACCAUUGUACUUAUUAAUUCUAUAAUGCACUAUGAAAUUGUUGUACUUUUUCAAAAUCAAAGUUUAUGUUAUUUAUUUUAUUUAAAAACCAAUAGCAUAUAGCCAUGUUUGCGUUCUUCCAUUUCACGUUGCUCGUUGUUUCGACGGUAUAUAUUUAUUCCAUAUAAGUCUGUAACUUUCCGCGUUGGAACUGUCCACCAUCCCGCGUGUUUCUUCACUUUGAUGAUUUGCAGCUUCAUAAUUAUUCGCGUGGAACGAGUGUUAUGAUGCUAGAAAAAUGUUGCAAAUUCGUUACUAAACGAGCACUUAAUGUGUAUAUGUUUGGUAAACACAUGAGAAACUUUAACCUUAUGUUUGGAUCGAAGCGUAUGUUGUUGUAUAUGCUGAAUAGCUGAGUCCAACCCUUUCAUUUCGCGACACUUUUGAUGAAACUCUCAUUUUCGCGGUAGUUAUCCAUCAAAUAUCAAAUGGAUGAGAAUUAGUCUUAUAGUCAUUUACCACAAGUUACAUUCAUAUAAUGAAUGUCAAAUAUGUCUCAUCAUUCAGAGUUGAUAGAUUUUGAAUUGUGUAUGAUGUGAGCAAGGAGAAAGACUUGAACAAACAUCUGGCACAAAGAUUUGUAUAAUAAUGUAUCAUUUGUUGAUUGGUUUAGUUCACUCAUGUAAACAAGAGCUAGCUUUGGUAAGACAUACACGGAUUUCCCUUUAUACGAUAAAGUGAACUUGUUUCUUUGAGCUUUGUUUUCGAGUUUGGAGGAAAACGAAGGGGAUGGCUUUGGAAAAAAAGGAAUAUGUUAUUGUUCUAUAAUUUACAGUUAAGAUUAGAGCGUUAUUCCAGUGUUUAUAGACCUUCAAACACUGCCAAUGAUAUCAUAUAUAAUUAAUAGCAGUUACCAUGUUUUCCAUAAUGAAUUAGAAUAAAAGCAUAAUUUCUCAGCUUCAAAGAAAGCAGCAUCGAUAUCGUCAUGUGUUUUUGCAACAAAAAAUAUAAAAUAGCUUAUCAUGGUCAAACCGCACGUUCCUAUUGAAGCUCCAAUUUCUAGCUUCUAAAGUUCACAAUUAAAUUUAUGGGGAAGCGAGAAAAUGGAGAUGAACACGUAACAAAAAAUGAAAAUUACUAUCAAAAGGUUCAAAAAGCAAGCAGGAACUCCGAAAAAUCAAGCAUACAAGAAAAUUUCUAUUUCUCUGUGAACCUUGAACAUUUGGAACAUCAAUGGUGAUCUCGUUCGCAUGCACCAGAUAUCGACAAGGGAUUCACGCGUCAAAGGACUUUGUAAUUGUUGUGUACAAUAACAAAGCUAAAUGUCUUCAAUAGCUACCAAUAGCUACCAUGAUUUCAAAAUUAGGUAACGACAAUGGGAUAUACAUUUCCGCAUGCAUAAAAAGUCCCCUCAGCCAAAAUGCUAUAAAGACGUUCCUUCCAAUCUUGACUUGGUAUAGCCCAAACUAAUAAGUUUUUGUAUCAGUAUUUUCUCGGCUUCUAUCUGCAAUCCAUAAAAGUUGGAAAUCAAUAUUGAAAUUAAAAAUGAUGCUGAAAACCAAUAUUGAAUUUAAAAAUCAACAUGUGUGAAUACUGAUGUAAAAUAAGGCAGUUCGGCGAGCAAAGCUCUCUAAUGUGAUAUUUGGGUAGGAAGUCAAAUCAACUUUACAACUAUUAAUUAAAAGAGGUAAUUUAAAAAUUACAUUAACUGGAAAAAUUAAGAAUUAACCAUCAAUUAUAGGUGGCUAAUUGCAGUUUUCUGCCAUAUUAUCUAAUUCUAGUGCCUGAUACUAAGUAACUGCAGGUGCCGAGCUACUAUGAGGUGAUUCUCGCAACUAUGGUAGUGAUGAGUAGGGCAAAUGCUAUCUGAAAGAAUCAUGGUGAAAUUUCUAUACAGAGCAAUGCUAGCAACACUCACUUGUAAUACUUUCUCUCCAAUUUCAAAAGCCAGUUUUAGCAUGGAAC